ACUAGGUCUAGAUUUCUAUUGGCUAAUAACCACCUACUCGUUGGUUACACUUUUAUGAUAGGCUAUCGCACUUUUCUAUUGUCAAGGUCAAACAAUUGUAAAUAAGAUAAUUUUUUAUGAUUAUACUUUUUUUUUUUGGUAAAAUAAAUCAUAGGUCUUUUUUUUUCCUUAAAAAAAUAGUCUGCUAUAAAGCGGCCGGGACAUUGCUUGCACACGUAGAUCUAGAUCUAGUUUUGGUCUGUUACGUCGUUUUCUAACAAGUGAAAUACAUUCGAAGAGACUUGGAGUAAAUUCUUCCACAAUCAAACUUCUAGAUCUAAUGAAACGUGACCUAGUUAACUUGGACGCAAGUGUGUUUUACGAAACGAGACGUUUUCCCGCAAACAUAUAGGUCACGUGAUAUCAUUGUCUCUCCAUUCACGACUGUCAAAGUUGUACAGUGCGUCGUCUGUAGCUUUCACUAUAAAAAGGCAAAAUAUUUUAAUAACAGAAUGGCAGAAAGGAAGCGUUUUAAGGUGGUCAUCAUUGGUGCUGGCGUGGGUGGUUUAUCUGCUGGCGUGGUCAUUCAGCAGUCAUGCCCGGACAUCGAUGUGGAGAUAGUGGCCGAUAUCUUUUCUCCGGACACUACUUCCGACGGCUCAGCAGGUUUCUGGGAGCCUUACUCCAUCGGCUCUGAUGUUGACAGAGUUGUGUAAGUAAAUA